rnacentral:rRNA from 1 species
GACGAACGCUGGCGGCGUGCCUAAUACAUGCAAGUAGAACGCUGAAGAGAGGAGCUUGCUCUUCUUGGAUGAGUUGCGAACGGGUGAGUAACGCGUAGGUAACCUGCCUGGUAGCGGGGGAUAACUAUUGGAAACGAUAGCUAAUACCGCAUGAUAUUAAUUGUCGCAUGAUAAUUAAUUGAAAGAUGCAAUUGCAUCACUACCAGAUGGACCUGCGUUGUAUUAGCUAGUUGGUGAGGUAACGGCUCACCAAGGCGACGAUACAUAGCCGACCUGAGAGGGUGAUCGGCCACACUGGGACUGAGACACGGCCCAGACUCCUACGGGAGGCAGCAGUAGGGAAUCUUCGGCAAUGGGGGGAACCCUGACCGAGCAACGCCGCGUGAGUGAAGAAGGUUUUCGGAUCGUAAAGCUCUGUUGUAAGAGAAGAACGGGUGUGAGAGUGGAAAGUU